GUGAAUCAUCAAAUUUUUGAACGCAAAUUGCACUCUCUUCGGAGAGUAUGCCUGUUUGAGGGUCAGCCUAAAAAAAUCGACGUAGUCGCUGUUUCGCUGUGACAUUCUUCGGAAAUUGGGUCAUCUUAUACCUUUGGGUUUUUUAAGCGUCAUAAAAUUGUCUUUACGAUUCCACGAACGUUUCUAAGAUUUUACUUCUUACAUACGUUUAAGGUAUCUAUCUUUAUUAAACGUGGCCGUUUCAUCGGAUCUCUUCAAUAAUUAUUUCGUUAACUG
rnacentral:misc_RNA from 1 species